UACUGUAUUUUUGCCUACAGUUUCUGCAGAAUCCUCAGGUUGCCCUCACAUGUGGGUUCCGGCCGCUUGUCGUGAGCCUCGGCGUGAUCUCCCAUCCCGCUCAGCACCGACGCUCGCUUAAUGAGUCUGGGAGAGGACUGCGGAGAGUCCCCCGCUAGUGCCUGCAGCAGGUUCAGCAUUGUUGUUGGCUGCACCACGUUCUACAGACUCUUCACACUUCAGGGAUGGAAACACACCAACCUGCAAGGGCGAUCGCCAUGAUGCCACGGACAGCGAGUACUAGGCAAAAAGUGGAUAACAGCUUUGUGAUUUGCCUACCAAUAACUUGCAUAUUACAUGUAUAA